rnacentral:lncRNA from 1 species
UUCUAGGCAGUCUCUAGUUAGUCUUGGUAUAUAUUGUACGAUCAAGUUGAAAAGAACAAUGAUUCUCUUCUUGAGAAUUUGCAAGAUGGGCAUGGAAUCUUACUGUUAUCUACAGCCAAAGUGCGACAACUGACAAGAAUUCUUGCAUUUAUAGGGGUGUCCAUCAAUCGAUGCCGAAGUUAGGCUCCUCCCAAUGCUUCACCUUAUACAGGUGCUAAGCGUGUCAUGUAGGCGAAAAAUCUGAUGUGGCAACAUAAUUAAGAGGAGAGAGGUGAGUGUGAUGACCCCAGGAUGAAAAAUGCCAACCACGUGAACCUAGACAAAACACAUAAAUAAAAAACAAAAAC